GCAGGCUCGCUGCCUGUGGCAAAGAGAGCGGUUGAAUACUUUUAUGAAACAGGGAGGCUUAAAGCAGACGUCUUAGAGCACUCAAAACUGAAUAAAGAUGAUAUCUUCAAGGGUUUUCAAAGUUCCAUAAGACUUAAAUAAAGAGAGGUCACUUCUGAGACUGGCUUAGCGUCUGGUCUACCACCUGGUGUACCAUGCCAGCUCUAGCAUGGAACAUAGGAGGAGGCCACACGCAGACAACGAAACACAGAAAAACAAACGCCAAGGACGGAAGAGGACACUCAGCAUGGUGGGCCACUCUUAUCUGCCAAGGCCAGAGUGACUGCGGGGGGAAAAAGAAGGAAGGGAAGAAAGAAAGGCAGAACGAAAGAAAAAGAAAGAAGGAAGGGAAAAAAACGACAUCUGAAAUCCACACUGAGGUGGGUAUCGUCUGUCAGCAGUUCUGAGCAGCAGAAAUAUGCAAUUAAAGACUUGAUGAAAGGGCCGUUGGAUGUGAUUGCUUAACUAGGGAAAAGUGGAUUAGGCUAAAUAGCCCUGCUUUCACACAAAUAGUUAUUAUCCACUGCACACCCCUGUCAAAAUAUGUGCUGCUGCUUCCAAUUAAUUAAAAAAAAAAUUAAAAGCACUUCACAAACCUAACACUUCUGAACAGUGGAAAAAAAAAAAAGAUAUGGUUCCGCCCCAACCACUGAAGCCAAAAAUCUUGAAGCUCAAACAAAAUCUUGCUUAAUGGAAGUUGAUAUGUAAGGUUCAGCAUCAUAUGAAAUUUGUGGACUGAUUUGUGGUUUGUUGUAUGUCUCGUUUGAUUACAAAUGUGCUGGCGGCAGCUUGUGCCCAGUUGUGUUGAACGCAUGAGACUCCCAUUUUUCCUGUUAGUGUUGGAGGUGUUUCAGUAAUUCCACAUGGAUGAAAGUUAUCACAAAGGGAGACACACCACACUAAUGAAUGGGACAUGCCCCCAUCCUCCCUUUCAAACACUGUUAAGGUUGGGUGGGUGAAUGAGUGAGUG